rnacentral:rRNA from 1 species
UCAGACGAUGCGUCAUGCAUAUCAAUAAGCGGAGGAAAAGAAACUAACAAGGAUUCCCCUAGUAACGGCGAGUGAAGCGGGAAGAGCUCAAAUUUGAAAUCUUAAAGGGUUUCCCUUUACGAAUUGUAGUUUAAAGAAGUGUUUUCUGUUGAGGUUUUGGUAAAAGUUCUUUGGAAUAGGACAUCAUAGAGGGUGAGAAUCCCGUAUUUGACCUUUACUUUCAACUUUGUGAUACACUUUCAAAGAGUCGGAUUGUUUGGGAAUGCAGUCCAAAAUGGGUGGUAAAUUUCAUCUAAAGCUAAAUAUUGGCGAGAGACCGAUAGCGAACAAGUACCGUGAGGGAAAGAUGAAAAGAACUUUGAAAAGAGAGUUAAACAGUACGUGAAAUUGUCAAAAGGGAAGCGUUUGACACCAGUGUUGUUUUCUGAAAAUCAAUUAAAGAACUGUUUAUGCUAAGCUGUUUAGACUUUAUCAGCUAUACUGUUUAGUUUUGAGCUUUUCUUUAAUGCACUUUUCAGUUAACAAGUCAACAUCAAUUUCUUUUGCUGUAAAAAAGCUUGAGGAAGGUGGCUUGAGAUUCGUCUUAAGUGUUUAUAGCCUCUUGCCUAUGCAGUCGGAGAGAUUGAGGUCUGCAGCGUAGAUCCUUCGGGGCUAAAUGCAUUUGUGCUAAGUUAUAGCAUUUUAUAGACAACUUGUUGACUAUGAUUUGUCUUGUAGCUUACUCGCUUAUGUUAUUUUACCUACGCUUAGGAUGUUGAAUCUGUGCGAGACUAC